CUUAAUCCAACAUCGAGGUCGCAAACCCCCCUGCCGAUAAGAACUCUCAAGGGAGAUAACGCUGUUAUCCCUAAGGUAAUUUAAUCUUACAAUCAAAAUAAAUGGAUCAAACAAAUAUAAAUAAAUAUAACAACACAAAGGAGGGGUUAAAUUAUAUCCCUCCCAUCACCCCAACAAAACAUAUUAAACGGCCUAGUAAACCCUCACAAACACAGAAAGAGACCAUAAUAAAUGUCAAACUCUAUAGGGUCUUCUCGUCCCAUAAAAACAUCUAAGAAUUUUAACUCAAAGACCAAAUUCAAUAAACAAUUCAAAAUUAAGACAGCCCAUGCCUCGUCAAGCCAUUCAUACCAGAUCACAAUUAAAGAACUAAUGACUAUGCUACCUUUGCACGGUCAAAAUACCGCGGCCCUUCAACACUAAAGUCAGCGGGCAGGCCAUACUUCAAAAACUAA
rnacentral:rRNA from 1 species